CUAGCCUGCCCCAGAUGUAUAAAUUUACCGGACGCGGUAGUAUGACCGUGCUAAGGUAGCAUAAUAAUUAGUCCUUUAAUUGGGGACUGGUAUGAACGGUUGAACAAGAAAUUAACUGUCUCUAUUGAAAACUUAGAAUUAUACGUUUAAGUGAAAAGGCUUAAAUGGAAUGGGGGGACGAUAAGACCCUAUAAAUCUUUAUAUUUCGGUCAGUAAAUUUUAGAGAUUAGUUAUACAUUUAGUGUUAUUGAACUCAAAUAUUUUGUUGGGGCGACAGGAGUAUAAUAAGUCACUGCUUUGUUUAUAAGUUAAUUAUGUUUAUUUUGAAAACCAAUAUUGAUCCUUUCUAGAGAAAUCAGACUAAGUUACUUUAGGGAUAACAGCGUAAUCUUUUUUGAGAGUUCAUAUCGAAAAAAUGGGUUUGCGACCUCGAUGUUGAAUUAAAGAUCCUUGACGGCGUAGGGGC
rnacentral:rRNA from 1 species